GAUAAACGCUGGCGGCGUGCCUAACACAUGCAAGUCGAACGUCCUACGCAAGUAGGGAGUGGCGGACGGGUGAGUACCACGUGGGCAAUCUACCUUUGGGUGAGGAAUACCGGCGAGAAAUCGCCGACAAUACCGCAUACACUCGGGCAACCGAGUAAAGUCGCAAGACGCCCGAGGAGGAACCUGCGCCCGAUUAGCUAGUUGGUGGGGUAAGAGCUUACCAAGGCGACGAUCGGUAGCUGGUCUGAGAGGAUGAUCAGCCACACUGGGAUUGAGA
rnacentral:rRNA from 1 species